rnacentral:rRNA from 2 species
UGACCUCAAAUCAGGUAGGACUACCCGCUGAACUUAAGCAUAUCAAUAAGCGGAGGAAAAGAAACUAACAAGGAUUCCCCUAGUAACUGCGAGUGAAGUGGGAAAAGCUCAAAUUUAAAAUCUGGCAGUCUCUGGCUGUCCGAGUUGUAAUCUAGAGAAGUGUUAUCCGCGCUGGACCGUGUACAAGUCUCCUGGAAUGGAGCGUCAUAGAGGGUGAGAAUCCCGUCUUUGACACGGACUGCCAGGGCUUUGUGAUGCGCUCUCAAAGAGUCGAGUUGUUUGGGAAUGCAGCUCAAAAUGGGUGGUAAAUUCCAUCUAAAGCUAAAUAUUGGCGAGAGACCGAUAGCGAACAAGUACCGUGAGGGAAAGAUGAAAAGAACUUUGGAAAGAGAGUUAAACAGUACGUGAAAUUGCUGAAAGGGAAACGCUUGAAGUCAGUCGCGUUGGUCAGGGAUCAACCUUGCUUUUGCUAGGUGUACUUUCUGGUUGACGGGUCAGCAUCAAUUUUGAUCAUUGGAAAAAGAUUAGGGGAAUGUGGCAUCCUUGGAUGUGUUAUAGCCCUUGGUUGUAUACAAUGGUUGGGAUUGAGGAGCUCAGCACGCCGCAAGGCCGGGUUUUUACCACGUACGUGCUUAGGAUGC